CUGGCAAAUGUUCAAAGACUCAAAUGCACACACAUACACACGAAGCAUACAUGCACACAUACUCUUCCCAAAGAUUGCCAAAAGCCAAUAAAACUAUGGGUUAUUUACAGUGAAAGAGGAAACAAAUUAUUAACCACGAUACAGUUUAUAGCUUAUUUUUAGGGAUAAACAUAUUAACUUAAAUUCAUUCUUAGAAGUGUUUAAAAAUAAUUACUUUUUAAAAUAGGCCUCUGCUAUGUAAUAGAGAUAAUGCUAUUCACAAUGUGAAAUAUCCAUUCCCACUGUCUUCAUUUGCUAUUUAAACAUGAAUGUAUAUUUGAUAGGGUCAUUGAACUUAUGGAUUUGACAAUAAUACAUAUUCUCUAUUUCCUUAAAUAUUAUCUCCUAUUUGGAAUUUAUUAUAACACAGAUUCAGUGUAAGUCACGAAAAACUAGUCCUUUUAAUAUUUUUAAAUGAAACCUUUCACUUACUCUGUCCUCCUGAAUUCCACGAAACGUUUAUUUCCAUUAAAACAUUCUAAGGAAAUUUGGGUUAAGCUACUGAUCAUUUCAUAAGAUCCAGUGAUUAAGAGUGGCUUUGAUUAAUUGCUGACAUUUGAACUUGCAGUGGGAUAAUAAUAAGUGGAGUUAACAUUUACUAAGCACUUAGAGCAGGAUAGACACCAUUUUAAGCACUACACUUACCUCAUUUAGUCCUCACAAUAACUAAACAGAUUAUGUAAUAAUCCCCACUUUAUAGAUGUUGAAGCGAAGUUACAGAGAAUUUAGCAAAGAUCAUACAGCCAGCCAGUGGCAGAACUUGAAUUCACACCUUCUUCCUUGUGUUUCAACUACCUUAAACAUUUGCUGCUCAGAAUACAAGCUUCUUAUCCAAGACAGUAUUUCCAGAAAUACAACUUGAGCAAAGCCAAGACAGAAUGAAAACAAAAGAAGGAGAUACCUUACUAGAUUUCUUAUCAUUCAUCUGUCAAUAUAAAAGAUACAAAAACUGGAAGACAGCAAAGACCAGGAAGUCUUAGGACUGUGCUGUAGAACUACAAUGAAAUAAAUAAAUAUGAAAGCUUU